UACGGAGGGGGCUAGCGUUAUUCGGAAUUACUGGGCGUAAAGCGCACGUAGGCGGAUUGGAAAGUUGGAGGUGAAAUCCCAGGGCUCAACCUUGGAACUGCCUUCAAAACUCCCAGUCUUGAGGUCGAGAGAGGUAAGUGGAAUUCCGAGUGUAGAGGUGAAAUUCGUAGAUAUUCGGAGGAACACCAGUGGCGAAGGCGGCACCCUGGACUCAUACUGACACUGAGGUGCGAAAGCGUGGGGAGCAAACAGG
rnacentral:rRNA from 1 species